GUAGGGAAUCUUCGGCAAUGGGGGCAACCCUGACCGAGCAACGCCGCGUGAGUGAAGAAGGUUUUCGGAUCGUAAAGCUCUGUUGUAAGUCAAGAACGGGUGUGAGAGUGGAAAGUUCACACUGUGACGGUAGCUUACCAGAAAGGGACGGCUAACUACGUGCCAGCAGCCGCGGUAAUACGUAGGUCCCGAGCGUUGUCCGGAUUUAUUGGGCGUAAAGCGAGCGCAGGCGGUUUGAUAAGUCUGAAGUUAAAGGCUGUGGCUCAACCAUAGUUCGCUUUGGAAACUGUCAAACUUGAGUGCAGAAG
rnacentral:rRNA from 1 species